rnacentral:rRNA from 1 species
UACGAAGGGUGCUAGCGUUGCUCGGAAUCACUGGGCGUAAAGCGCACGUAGGCGGCUUUCUAAGUCAGAGGUGAAAUCCUGGAGCUCAACUCCAGAACUGCCUUUGAUACUGAGGAUCUUGAGUUCGGGAGAGGUGAGUGGAACUGCGAGUGUAGAGGUGAAAUUCGUAGAUAUUCGCAAGAACACCAGUGGCGAAGGCGGCUCACUGGCCCGAUACUGACGCUGAGGAACGAAAGCGUGGGGAGCAAACAGG